rnacentral:lncRNA from 10 species
GUAAUCUUCAGUAUUGGAGGGGAGGCAUGGUGGGGGGAGAUUGGGUCCCCCCACCCAGUGGAGGCAAGUUUCUCAUGAAUGGUUUAGCACCAUCCCCCUUGGUACUGUCUUCACAAUAGUGAGCUCUCAUGAUAUUUGGUCAUUUAAAAGUGUGUAGCACUUCCCCCUUCACGUUCUCUUGCUCCUGCUCUGGCCAUGUGACAUGCCUAUUCCCUCUUCACCUUCUGGCAUGACUGUUAAGUUUCCUGUGGCCUCCCUGGAAGCUGAGCAGAUUCCAUCAUCAUGCUUCCUGUACAGUCUGCAGAACCAUGAGCCAAUUAAGCCUCUUUUCUUUAUAAAUUACCCAGUCUGAGGUACUUCUUUAUAGCACUGCAAGAAUGGACUAAUACGCUAUGUGAAGACAAAGGGGAUGUCUGCAAGCCAGGACGAGUGCGUCUACCAGAAACUGAGUUCUGCUGGACUUUGAUCUAGGACAUCCAGCCUCCAGAAUGGAAUGUGCCAUAUGUGGAGACCUGCAUGGAAAGGAACUGAGGAUGCUCUCUCACUAAAAGCUAGAAGGAACUGAGGCCCUCAGUCAACAGUCUACAAGACACUGAAUCUUGCCAGCAGCCAAGCAGUGAGCUUGAAAGCAGAUCUAUCAUCAGCUGAACCUUCAGAUGAGACCGCAGCCUAAGCAGAUACCUUGGUUGCAGCCAUGUGAGACAACCUGAAACAGAGGGCACAGCUAAGCCUCAGCCAGGUUCAUGACCCUCUGAGGAAACUGUGAGAAAGCAAAUGUCAUUUUAAGCUAUUUAAUUUUGGAGGUAGUUUAUUACACAACAAUAAAUAACUAUUAUAAUUAUCUUGAGGAUUUAUUUCCUGGGGAGAAUACAUGGAAUUGCAUAUAUAGGUCCUCAUAUGCAGAAUACUGGUACCCUAGAGAUGUUCACCCCAGAGAUGUUUUAGGAACCUGUGAAUAUGUUACAUUAAAUGGCAAAGUUUUCCUGGAUGGUUUAAGUUUAAGAUGGAAAAGUUUUACUGGAUUAUCCAGUGGGUCCAAUCUAGUAACAUGAGUCCUUAAAAAUGGAGAAUAUUUUUUGGCCAUGAUCAGAGAGACAUGUGAUGAUGGAAAAAGUGUCAGAGAUGCAAUGUGAGGGGACUAAAACUGCUGUUGCUGACUUUAAAGAUGGAGAGAGGGGAACCCGAGUCAAGGAAUGCAAAUGGCCUCUGGAAGCUGGAAAAAGCAAGAAAUGGAUUCUCCUUUAGAGCCUGUGGAAUAAAAUGCAGUCAUGCUGACACCUUGAUUUUACCUCAGUGAGACCAAUACUGGAGUAUGACCUUCGGAGCUGAAUAAAAUUAUACGUACACAUCUUAAUUUCUUGGGAUUUGAUUACUUCUUCUGCUUUGAAAUUAGACCAAGUUUAGCCUGCCUUUGCUAUUUUGGCGUAUCUCCAAUUCUUCAUGAUUUUCUCAUCGCAAAGGCCACAUAAGGACAGUGAGAAGGCAGCCACCUGCAAGCCAGGAAGAAAGGUCUCACCAGAUACCAACCCUGCCAGCAUGUUGAUCUUGGACUUCCAGCCUCCAAAACUGGCCUUCUGCUCACAUGGGCUUCCGUGCACCUGCUUCAGGAGACAGCAACACUUGCGCCCGCACCGCGGCAGGCUCCCAUCACCUGGUGGAUAUGCCGCGCCGAGUCUCAUCACACCUUAGUGAAGGAACACAUGGACCCAUAUGUUAGCGGAUGUAUUUACAUCGUUUUAUACAGAAAGGGGAAAUGGAGUCUUGCUCUGUCACACAUGCUAGAGUCCAGUGGUAUGACCUCAGCUCACUGCAAUCUCUGCCUCCCGGGUUCAAAUGAUUCUUCUGCCUUGACCUCCCUGGCAGCUGGGACUACAGGCCUGCACCACCACGCCUGGCAAAUUUUUUAAUUUUUUUUAGUAGAGAUGGGGUUUCACCAUGUUGGCCAGGCUAGUCUCGAACUCCUGACCUCAAAUGAUCUGCCCGCUUUGGCCUUCCAAAGUUCUGGGAUUAUAGGAGUGAGCCACCAUGCCCAGCCUGUUCUUAAGUCUCCUAGAACAGGGAUUCUGAAACACAAAACUCAUCUGGUGAGAAGAAUGAGAGCAAGAGAGGUUAAAUGGGUCGUUCAAGUUCAUAAAGUACUGACAGAAGAUGACCCUGAACUGUUCUCACUAUAUUAAAAGUCAGACAAGUAUUAUUAUUAUUAUUACUAAUAUAAGUAGCUCCAAUUUAUGUGAUUCUCAUGAUUUGGAGGACCUUACCUAUAUUAGCUUAUUUAAUCUACACAGCAAACCUAGAUGGUAAAUAUUUUCAUUGCCAUUUUACAGAGGAGGAACUGAGGUUCCUGAGGGUUAGGAAACUUGUAACAUGAACUCCAUACAGAUAUACAGAAUGAUAUAAACAAAUAAACAAAUACAUAAAUGUGGAAGAAGUAAAAGCUCUUCCUUGGAGUAAAAGGCCACCUAAUAAAUGAGGCAGGAAUGAUAAAAUUAGAGAAAUCAUUUGCAAACAUCACAGUAUUAAUUGCUUAAAGGAAGAAUUAUAAAUAGAUAAUAAAGCUAGUGGGUGAAACAUUAAUGGGACUAAGAUAUUUAUCUAGCCCCAAAAGUUUUGCUCCAUAAAAAUACUUACUUAGGCUGGGCAUGGUGGUGCACACCUGUAAUUCUAGCACUUUGGGAGGCCGAGGUGGAAGGAUUACUUGAGCUUAAGAGUUCAAUGGCAGCCUGGACAACAUAGUGAGACCGCAUCUCUAAAAAAAAAAUUAGCCAGGUGUGGUAGUGCGUGUAUGUAUUCUCAGCUACUCAGGAGGCUGAGGUAGAAGGGAUCGCUUGAGCCCCAAGUUGAGGCCACAGUGAGCUGAGAUUGCACCACUGCACUCCAGCCUGGGUUACAGAGAGUGAUCCUGUCUCAACAAUAAAAUAAAAUAAAAUGAAAAAAAUAUUUAUUACAAAUGAAAAAAAUGACAUGUUUACACUGGAGAGGCCUACAGGCAUCAUCUUAACCAAUGAUCAAAGUUAAUAUCUACACGAAUAGGACAAAUAAUAUCAUUUCCCUCCUGACCUCAUGCAUGUUUAAAACACAACAUAACUUCUUGGUUAUUUCUGUCAAGAGUGCAUAACCUGAAACUAAUCAUAAGAAACCACCAGAUGACCCCACGAUGAGAGGUAUACUAAAAAAUAACUAAGCUAUUAUUUUAUUUUAUUUAUUUUUUGAGACAGAGUCUUGCUCUGUUGCCCAGGCUGGAGUGCAGUGGCGCAAUCUCAGCUCACUGCAACCUCAGCCUCCUGGGUUCAAGAGAUUCUCCUGCCUCAGCCUCCCAAGUAGCUGGGAUUACAGGCUUCUUUUUGUAUUUUUAGUAGAGAGGGGGUUUCACCAUGUUGGCCAGGCUGGUCUCAAACUCCUGACCUCAGGUGGUCCACCCACCUCGGCCUCCCAGUUUUGGGAUUAUAUGCGUGAGCCACUGCACUCAGCCACCAGACUUUUUUUUUUUUCUUUUUACUUUUUUUGAGACAGCAUCUCCCUCUGUCGCCCAGGCUGGAGUGCAAUGGCACAAUCUUGGCUCACUGCGACCUCCGCCUCCCAGGUUCAAGUGAUUCUCCUGUCUCAGCCUCCUGAGUAGCUGGAACUACAGGCGCCCGCCACCACGCCCGGCCAGUUUUUGUGUUUUUAGUGGAUAUGGGGGUUUCACCAUGUCGGUCAGGCUGGUCUCGAACUCCUCACCUCAGGUGAUCUGCCCGACUCAGCCUCCCAAAGUGCUGGGAUUAUAGAUGUGAGCCAUCGUGCCUGGCCUAUUUUGAAAGCAACAUAUAAUCCAACUUUUUCUUUUGUUAUAAAGAGCAAUAUAGGAACAAGGAGUGAAACACCAAGGCAAUUUGACAGUUAAAUGGUAGAAGUAGAUCAGUGUUAAUUUCCUGAUUUUGUAAUUAUACUGUGGUUAUGUAACAGAAUGUUCUUGUUUUAGAAAGUACACAUUGAAUAAUCAAUGGUCAUCUUGUCUGUAACUUAAUUUCAAAUGUUUCAAUAAAAAUAUGUGUAUGUUUGUGAGUGAUAAAACAAAU